rnacentral:rRNA from 1 species
GAUGAACGCUGGCGGCGUGCCUAAUACAUGCAAGUCGAACGCGAGAGGAGGGAGCUUGCUCCCUCUGAUCGAGUGGCGGACGGGUGAGUAACACGUAGGCAACCCGCCCAUCAGCCGGGGAUAACUGCGGGAAACCGUGGCUAAUACCGGAUAAUCCUCUCCACCGCGGGGUGGGGAGUUGAAAGACGGUUUCGGCUGUCGCUGAUGGAUGGGCCUGCGGCGCAUUAGCUGGUUGGCGGGGUAACGGCCCACCAAGGCAACGAUGCGUAGCCGACCUGAGAAGGUGAUUGACCACACUGGGACUGAGACACGGCCCAGACUCCGACGGGAGGCAGCAGUAGGGAAUCUUCCGCAAUGGACGCAAGUCUGACGGAGCAACGCCGCGUGAGUGAAGAAGGGUUUCGGCUCGUAAAACUCUGUUGUUAAGGAAGAACGCCAGGUAGAGUAACUGCUACCUGUGUGACGGUACUUAACCAGAAAGCCACGGCUAACUACGUGCCAGCCGCCGCGGUAA